rnacentral:lncRNA from 1 species
AGGAGAAAGUUAGGCUCAAUCGUGUGCUAGCACAAUUUCCUUGAACCUAAUUGGAUCUAAUCCAAAUCAAUUGGGCUAGCCCAAUUGAUGACAUCCAGAUCCUAACCCUUGUUAGUGUGAUCUAGUUAGAUUCAAUUCUGUAUGGUAAUGAGAUAUGUCAUGAUCUCAUCAUUGACAUCAUCGAAACUCCUUUCGAUGGACC